GAUGAACGCUAGCGGCAGGCCUAACACAUGCAAGUCGAGGGGCAGCACAGAAACAGCAAUGUUUUGGUGGCGACCGGCGGACGGGUGCGUAACGCGUAUGCAACCUACCUUUGACAGGGGGAUAACGGAGAGAAAUUUCCACUAAUACCCCAUAACAUCGAUCAAGGCAUCUUGAUUGGUUGAAAACUCCGGUGGUUAAAGAUGGGCAUGCGUUGUAUUAGGUGGUCGGUGAGGUAAUGGCUCACCAAGCCUACGAUACAUAGGGGGACUGAGAGGUUAGCCCCCCACACUGGUACUGAGACACGGACCAGACUCCUACGGGAGGCAGCAGUGAGGAAUAUUGGUCAAUGGGGGCAACCCUGAACCAGCCAUGCCGCGUGCAGGAAGACGGCUCUAUGAGUUGUAAACUGCUUUUAAACAGGGAUAAAGCACAGUAUGUAUACUGUGUUGAAGGUACUGUAAGAAUAAGGAUCGGCUAACUCCGUGCCAGCCGCCGCAGUAA
rnacentral:rRNA from 1 species